UGAGAUGAAAACGAAAGCGGCCACCUCACUCACUCUCACUGUCAUUCACUGAUUGGGUCAAAAUUGUACACAACCCGACCCAUCUUCAUCCUAUCAUCCUAAUAUCCUAUCAUCCCAUGAUCAUGAUCGUCUAUCUACUACAGCAAAAUGAAAUCUGGAUAACACAGCACAAUCCAACCCUCCACCCAAUCCUCACAUCCCACGUGGCAUAAAAGCGCACUCUGUCACUAUCAAUCCUCUGGAUACCGAUCAAGAAGUGAAGAGUACCCUUUUCCCAAUGCUUUGCUUAGCUCAACUUAAUUUAAUAAUUCCCCAGCGGGUUCAAGCUGCUGCUGCCUCCUCUUUCUGUCUGUCUGUCUUUGCUGCCUCCUCGCCAAAAACACUUUCCCAUGCCGUGCCCUUUCUUUUUAUCUCCUUUUCGCCCCUUUAAUUCAUUUUCUUCCCUUCCCCCGCAACCUAACUAGGUCUAGCAGUCAAGUCACAGAAAGCAACAGCGUUUUUAGGAGAAAGAGAGAGAGAUGUGCAACAAGAAGAGUCCACCUCUUCCUCCUUCUGCUACUCCUACUGGUCAUGAUGAUGAUCCUGUGCAAACCAGCUCUAUGAUUCAUAAUAUCAUCAAGGAAGAACAACAAGAAACCUCCACAGACCCGGCAGCAGCUCACCGCAAAUCCAGAACCAAGACCAGGAAGCCCAAGUUCUUAAGCCUCCGAUCCCAACUCUCGCUCCCCAAGCAUGAUCACGACCAAGAUUAUUACACAGUACCAGAUUCGACCACUACAAAUACAAUGACCGCCGGUCAACGCCACCAGCUCAACCUCUUCCCACUCCACCCGGAAAACCUUGUCGACCACCAAGACAAAGCCGACAUGCAGGACGACAACGUGGCCUUGCUCUUCCACUCGGACGGCGGAGCCACCCUCAACGGCCUCCUCACAUCCACCUCCACCGCCACGACCUCCACCUCGACAACCACUACAAUGUCAUCUGACCGAGAGGACCAAGAGUCGUUUUCCACCUACGCCUACUAUAACAUUGUACGGACGGCGAUGAGGAACAGAGAGAGGGAGACGAGCGUGGAGAAGUGGGUGUGCUACUCGGAGCUGGUGGACAAGAAGGAGGAGGAACCUCGUCGUGACGUGGAGGAUCGGUGGAGGAUCGGGACCUUGGCUUUGAAGCUUGAUUAUGAGGAGAUCUUGAAUGCUUGGUCUGAUAAGGGCCCACUUUGCAUUGAUGGGGACCCACCACAGACUGUUCCUGACCAGCUUUUUCAGCUCCAUGAUAACACUCCCAAUAUUAGGGUGAGGGAUGUGAUGGGAAUUUAUGGAGGGUCCCAGGAGGAGAGGAUGAGAGCCUGAAAACGAAGAUGGGGAAAACUCAAAGAGAGGCGAGUGUAUUGAGGUACAAGGAAAAAAGGCAAAACAGGCUCUUCUCUAAGCGGAUCCGAUACCAAGUUCGAAAGCUCAAUGCCGAAAAACGCCCCCGUAUGAAGGGUCGAUUCGUGAAGAAGAGAAGUUGAAGUUCUAAUCAAAGUGUAAAGAAUACGAGCGAGCGACAUGCAGAAUAUUAGCUAGCUAGAUUCCAAGAGGAUAGAUAGGUUUUUGGUGCUUCAACUAUCUAUUACCACUGUAUGUUUUAUCUGUUUUGCUACCUAAUUGUUAAUUACGUUGCUCUUGCUGGAGAGAGAGAGAGAGAGAGGGACGAAUAUGUGUCUUGCAUAUACAUACGUAUGCACAAAGAUAUAUAUA